UGGGAAUAUUGGCACAAUGGGCGAAAGCCUGAUGCAGCGACGCCGCGUGAGGGCAUGACGGCCUUCGGGUUGUAAACCUCUUUCAGCAGGGAAGAAGCGAAAGUGACGGUACCUGCAGAAGAAGCGCCGGCUAACUACGUGCCAGCAGCCGCGGUAAUACGUAGGGCGCAAGCGUUGUCCGGAAUUAUUGGGCGUAAAGAGCUCGUAGGCGGUUAGUCGCGUCUGCUGUGAAAACUCGAGGCUCAACCUCGGGCUUGCAGUGGGUACGGGCUGACUAGGGUGCGGUAGGGGUGACUGGAAUUCCUGGUGUAGCGGUGGAAUGCGCAGAUAUCAGGAGGAACACCGAUGGCGAAGGCAGGUCACUGGGCCGCAACUGACGCUGAGGAGCGAAAGCAUGGGGAGCGAACAGGAUUAGAUACCCUGGUAGUCCAUGCCGUAAACGUUGGGCACUAGGUGUGGGGUCCAUUCCACGGAUUCCGUGCCGCAGCAAACGCAUUAAGUGCCCCGCCUGGGGAGUACGGCCGCAA
rnacentral:rRNA from 1 species